GACGCUCUGCAGCCCUCUGCUCUCGCUGAGGUCAGGGAAAGGGCAGAAUUAACAGGGGAGCUGAGCUGUGGGUCCCGCAUGUCCAAGGUCCCAGGAAUAGAUAGACAGAUGGCUGGGGGACAGGGGAGCAGCCAGGGAACAGGAGGCAGAAUCCAGCUGCACAGGAGGGGACUCAGGACUGCUCUGUGCAUCUGCAUUCGCAACACUGUUGCCGCCCAGACACAGCUUGGAGGCUUAGUUCUGGUGGGGCAAGGGUUAAGUGCUUCUGUGUGACUUGACAAGUCCAAGGUGAAGUGGGUGGCCAGAAGUCUCAGAGGCAUCAUUAACCCUCUUGGCUGAGAAAUCUCACAGCCCUCUGGAUAAGCUCUGUGUUAUCACCUGUGAUAGGGAUCCCAGGCCCAGAGCAGAGGGCUGCAUUCUUAAAGGGACAGACCUCAAAGCCUCUUCCGGGUCCUGUGCCCUUGCCCAGGCUCACCUUCCAAGUACAUUCCUUCCCAGCUGGAGGAACUCGGCUCAGAGACUCACCAAGUCCCACUAGGUGGGGGGUCCUGGCUUAUAGAACAUGGGGUCUUCAAAACUUUAGCAAUGGUGGAUUCUCUCGGCCUCCCUACUUUUCUUCUUCCCCAGUAAUGCUGAUUUUCCUACAGCCAGGGGUCACUCUCAACCCCUGAAAAUGAGGGCUCACACUGGGCUGGUGGCCUUAGACGCCUGGACUGGCCUGGCUGGGUAGCAGUGGCCAGGCACUAUGGAGUUUCCUUGGACUAGUAGGGCCACACCCUCUUAAGCCCACACCUCUCCUCUGUCUGGUCUUCCCUUAGCGAUGGGGUUGGACUAACGUGAGUACAAGCCCGUACAGACUGUGACGCUGACUUUGCCGAGUGCUGAGGGUGACAUCUCACUGCUCCUAAAAGUGCAGCUUCGACAGAACUGGUCCAUGGACAGAGAGCCCCUUCAGUACCAAGGAGAAAAGACUUCUGCUAGACCAGAGGAACAGGACCCCAGAGUCCUGUGUCGCUACGGAGCCAGCCAGCCCUGGGGACCCUGAACCUGGGACUGAGCAGGAAUCUGGCCACAGAACCGUCUCCUCCUCGAGUGAAGGGGUCCAGCACAGGCCAGCGCCCAUGGGUUCAGACCGUGUCCCCGAAGGGUUCAGAAGGCCGCAUGAGGAAGUCCCAUGGGACACUAUGCCAAGCCAUUGACUUCCCACUGCACACGAGGAUCUUGGGUUCUGAGGGCCACUCAGCUGCUCCAGCCUGCCCACAUACGCCUUACACCGUGGCCAGUUACCUGCGGAGGCCCCGCCUGGCAUGUCUGAAAGCCGACUCCUGUGAGGAGCAGUCUUUCUGUCUGAAACAGAGGAGACAUUGUGCCCAGUGAGGCCAAGCGUGGCCUGUGUGGGGCCAAGGAUCCACCUCUGUCCCUGGCCUCGAGACAAAGUAACCUGCUUCUGCUGACAGGCCCUGUGGAGAGGGGACCGUCAAAGGCCACCUGCUGGCUGCUACCCGGACGACGUGAUCCUUGCUCUGGCCUUCAUCCCUCCGAUUCCUCCUUCAGCCAGGACCACUUCCUCCCAUCCGUGAGAAAAGGAGACGGGCAACCCCACAGUAGAGAGCUCUAAGGGAGGCAGGUGACCCCACAGUAGAGAUCCCCUGUAUCUUCUCCCAGUGAAAAAUCUUCCCCUCUGCCUGCAGGAGCAGCCCAGGGGAGGCAGCAUUCUGAGCUUGGUACCGGUGAGUGUCCUAAACUCCAAAUGACUCUGAGGUGUGAUCACGUUGUUUCACUGCUCCUGCAGGGGCCAGAGGCUGUUAAUAUGGAGGAAAAGCCCUCUCUGCUAGCGGGGCUCUGGGAUAUGAGGCCUGAGGCUUUUACUGCUCUGGAUUAAGGGCAAUCAAGCUUGCUGGCCGCUCCCAGCCAACCAGCCCCCGUCAGGGUUUCCGGCUGCAUUUCCGCUCCUAAUAUUGGCGCCGAGGAGGAGACCAGGGAUCCUCUGUCCUAAAAUUACAUUUGUGCACCCAGGCUGAGAGCCCUACCUGCCAGCUCGUAGACAGCAGGGCACUGCGUGGGAGAAGGAGGAGGCACCCUCCGCAGGUGCCUGUGUCAGCUAACAUACUCGGGUCUGCCUGAGCAGUGCCAGCACCUCCCGAGUUAGACUUGAACAUGAAGGAUGUGUGCGGAGUUUGCCUCAGCCAGAACCAGCAAGCUCAGUGGGUCCAUAUGCACCGGGGGUCCUGCAAGAAGCCCCAGAUUUGACAACAGCAUGCAGGGGAUGCCAGCAGAGAGCGUGUGCUGACCUGAAAUAAAGCCUGUAGGAUGUUAGGGUAUCACUGUAAAACCGAGAGAGAGAGAGAGAGAGAGAGAGAGAGAGAGAGAGAGGCCAUAACAGGGAGCCACCCACAAGGUGAAUCUGCUGUCUGAGCCCGCCAAAGCCUGGAGUAUGUAUCAGAAGGGACAGAAACACAGGAGGUCUAGAUAGGGGGAUCACAGCCUCAAGCCCCCACUUUUAAGACACUUCCUCCACUUCUGCCCAGCUUUGGGAGGCAUGGGGGAUUAAGACAGGAUGACAGUCCACACAGCAAGGAAAUCCCAAGCCAAACAGGGAUGCCAGUGUCCACUGUAGAAGACAGGGUGCUCUCUGAGGCCAGCCCACCCCCACCCCCAGCCUAGGGCACUGGCCUGCUGAGCUACAGUGGUUCUCCUCUGCCUGCUUAGGGUAGGGCUGUCAUAGGGUCCCAGAUCCAGGGAAGAGACAGGGAGGGUCCAUCUUGGGUGCAUUCGCUGGCCCUUCUUCAAGAUCAGGCUACAGGGAUUGGACUGAGGGCGGCUGGAAGCUCUGUUGUCUUUAAUUCUGUUUUUACAAGGAGUGUGAGAUUUACAGGCCCUGGAGGGGAAGAAAACGGUGUAACCCGAGUCAGUCAGCAGCAGUUCAUGCCGGGCUGGCUUCUCUCACAGAGUCUGCCAGAGGCUGCUGAGCAUCAGGUCCACACAGAGAGCCACUGCCCAUGAUCACCAUGCUCCAGUGCUGUGAUACCUACCACACACACACACACACACACACACACACACACACACACACACAUGCACGCACCAUGUACAGAUACACAAACACACCCACACAGAUGCACGAGUGUCUGCAUGCAAAUACUGCAUGCAACCGUAUAAGGAAACUCACACAUAUCUGUACACAACACACAGACUUACACACAUGCACACAGAAAUGCAGAAGCAGUUCAUGUCACACACAGAUGCACACACGUCUACUGGCUCAGUCCACACACAGAAACACCCACUCAUGAUGUUUCUUAAAGUCUAAUCCCUCACACUCCAUACACACACACACACACACACACACACACACACACACACACACACACAACUAAAUGCUUAUGGCACAUAGCUGCCUACGAGGUCAACUUGGCUGAGUAGUGGCUGCUUUCGCAUGUACUUUAAACUCUUCCAAAAUUUUGUGUUUUCACUUUACUUUUACAAUUAAAUUUAUAUCUAUGUAUUUAUGAGGGUAUCUGCCACAUGAGUGCUGGUGCCCCAAAAGGCCAGAAGAGGGCAUCAGAGUCCUUGGACCUGGAGGUUGCGGACUUUGCAGUGUAGGCUCUGGGAACUGAACUCAAAACCUUGGGAAGAACAGCAAGCGUUCCUAACCACUGAGCAAUCUUUUCAGCUUCCUGCCAGGCCCCCUUCCCCGUGUGUGUGUGUGUGUGUGUGUGUGUGUGUGUGUGUGUGUGUGUGUGUGUGGUACAAACAGCUCUCUGUGUAGAAUGGACAAACCCUUAUCCAGUCUUUGCCCCUCUUGGGGCUAGCACAGUGUGCGCUGCAGACAGAACAAAGCUUAGGCGUCUCCCUCGGGUGUUUGGCUCAGCUGUGCCACCUGGCUGAGCAGUGAGGGAGGCAUGAGAAGGUCCAUGUCUACCUGACCUCACCCAGCUCCUGUCUGGUCCCAGGAAACGCAGACAGAGUAGGUGUAACUCGGAUGCUUCUGCUGCCACCAGGGCUGGGCAGGCGGAGGGCCUCUGUCGUGAGCUGCUUCCACGUGGAGAUCGAUGAAGAUCAAAGAACCCUGUCUUAUCUCAGGAGGACCUUUGUGCGGUGCCGGGGGACAGAUUCAGCAGGAAGACGUGGGGCUUUCUAAAAGUGCGAGGGUGCUCUUUGAACAAGUGUAUUAUCGAUUCCUCUCCAUUCCCCGCUCUGAGUCAGGGGGAUCCAACACAGACUUUGUGCUCUGAGGCGGUAAUAACAGUGGCCUGAUAAACAAGGCUUCUUGUUCAAGAAUGCCAGUCCUAGCCAGUCCUAGCCAGUCUGCGGGCUCCCUGGUCACUUGCUUCCUGUCUCUGCACCUCAGAGGCAGCCUUCGGCACACUGCAAAUCCCAAUGUCUGGCACUCAAAUCCCCAGAGACCUGUAAGAUCUAGUACUCAACAGACAGUAAUUGACUUUCCUGUCUCAGUUUAAAUUCCUUGUCUGGGGGCUGGAGAGGUGGCUCAGCAGUUAAGGGUGUGUCCUGCUCUUGCAAAAGACCCAACUUUGGUUUCGCAGAACUCACAUCAGGAGGCUCACAAAGGCUAAUAUAAUGUCAGCUCUAGGGGAUCCGAUGCCCUCUUCUGGCCUCCACUGGCACAGCACCCGUGUGCAUAAACCCCACACAUGUACAUAAAUAAAAAAAAAAUCUUUAAAUAA